rnacentral:rRNA from 1 species
CGUUAGCGGCGGACGGGUGAGUAACACGUGGGUAACCUACCUAUAAGACUGGGAUAACUUCGGGAAACCGGAGCUAAUACCGGAUAAUAUUUCGAACCGCAUGGUUCGAUAGUGAAAGGUGGUUUUGCUAUCACUUAUAGAUGGACCCGCGCCGUAUUAGCUAGUUGGUAAGGUAACUGCUUACCAAUGCGACGAUACGUAGCCGACCUGAGAGGGUGAUCGGCCAAACUGGAACUGAGACACGGUCCAGACUCCUACGGGAGGCAGCAGAU